UACGAAGGGGGCUAGCGUUGCUCGGAAUCACUGGGCGUAAAGCGCACGUAGGCGGAUUGUUAAGUCAGGGGUGAAAUCCUGGAGCUCAACUCCAGAACUGCCUUUGAUACUGGCGAUCUCGAGUCCGGGAGAGGUGAGUGGAACUGCGAGUGUAGAGGUGAAAUUCGUAGAUAUUAGGAAGAACACCGGUGGCGAAGGCGGCCCACUGGAUCGGUACUGACGCUGAGGUGCGAAAGCGUGGGGAGCAAACGGG
rnacentral:rRNA from 1 species